rnacentral:rRNA from 1 species
AAUAGAUACCCCGGUAGUCCACGCCGUAAACGAUGAGUGCUAAGUGUUAGAGGGUUUCCGCCCUUUAGUGCUGCAGCUAACGCAUUAAGCACUCCGCCUGGGGAGUACGGUCGCAAGACUGAAACUCAAAGGAAUUGACGGGGGCCCGCACAAGCGGUGGAGCAUAUGGUUUAAUUCGAAGCAACGCGAAGAACCUUACCAGGUCUUGACAUCCUCUGACAACUCUAGAGAUAGAGCGUUCCCCUUCGGGGACAGAGUGACAGGUGGUGCAUGGUUGUCGUCAGCUCGUGUCGUGGGAUGUUGGGUUAAGUCCCGCAACGAGCGCAACCCUUGAUCUUAGUUGCCAGCAUUAAGUUGGGCACUCUAAGGUGACUGCCGGUGACAAACCGGAGGAAGGUGGGGAUGACGUCAAAUCAUCAUGCCCCUUAUGACCUGGGCUACACACGUGCUACAAUGGAUGGUACAAAGGGCUGCAAGACCGCGAGGUCAAGCCAAUCCCAUAAAACCAUUCUCAGUUCGGA